CUCCGUCCGAGCUCCCGCGCGCGCCGCCCGGGCACUUUGUUUGUGUCCCACAGUGCACCGCGAGCGGCGGCGGGGGCGGGGCCCCGCGCCUGCGCACCGCGCGCCCGGCGGCGGAGCCGGCACCCUGAGGGGAGAGAGAGAGAGCGGGAACGGGAGCGGGGCGCACCGGCCGGGAAACCCGUCAUGGUGAACACCAGUGUCCUAGGACAUAGAGGGAUCUCAGGAGUUCCUGGGCUGAACCUCCUGGAAUUUGAUGGGUAUAAAACAGCUUUCAGUGAGAUUCCUGUCUGCAGCAGGAGGGGAGUGCCUGGAGGUUGUGCCAUGCCCUUAAAGCCUCCUGUGCCUGUCUAAACAGAAAUUCUGUUUUCCCAUACAUUCAGAAAACACUCAGGUGUGUUUCCCAUCCAUCCCUGGGAUCUGCCCCUUUCUUUAAUCCCUGAAUCUCUCCCUUGCUUACCUCAUUCAAGCGCCCAGGAGGUGCCAUUUCUGGCUGGAAGCUGCUUCACCCUCCUUUUGCAGCCUGUGGGAUGUGUUUUCCUGUGCCUCAGCAGCUCUUGGAGCAGACACUGCACUCCCAGCAGCCUGCUCCUGGCAGGAUUCCUCAUUAACAACCAAAGCAAGUGACACCUUCCCUGCACAGCCUUGCUCUCACCUCCCUGACCCAGCAGCUCCUGAGGGAAAACAGCUUUGCUCCCACACUCAAGGACUUGUUGCCUACUCCUGAAUUUACCACAGGAGUAGGAGCUGUUUCCUCUCCACCCUGUUGUGAUCUCCAGGGCUCAGUUAAUCUGCUUUAACUCAAUCCUGCUGACUUCUCUCUUUGGAAACUCCUGAUUUUCUCCUGGCAUGGGGAGGAUUUGGGGUUUAUGUCCUCCCCAGACCUGGAAGUGCUUUUCCUUUUCCUCAGCGAGUGUAGUGCUGGGGGUUAAAGCAUCCCAGUUGGCAGGAGAGGAGAUUGAAGCAGCAAUUUAGGAGAGAAACCUUUCUAAAAAGCUCUGAAUUGCAACAGCCCCUCGGAAAUGCCAUUGCCAAGGAACCAGAGAGUUGCUUGGGCACCUGAGGAUGGAUUUAUCAGGGAUCUGUGUGGGGAAGGAGGGAUCUAACAGAGCAGAGGGGUUGUAAGACCAAGAUGGAUGAGGGAUAAGGGCAGCAAAGGGAUGUUGUGGUUCUAGGACAGGGCAGGAAGGAUGGUUCCAUCAGGAAUAAGGAUGGAUUUGUGGCUGAAGCAGCAAGUGCUGGUGUGACCUUGCUGGGACACCGUGGUCCCUUCUGUCCAGGGAUAAUAAACUCAGCCCAGAGCUGAGGAGGGUGUUUUAUGAGGUGAGCCUUGCAAAGUUUAGCAAAGUGGAACUGGAAAUGACUCCUGUCCACAAACACAUGGGGAGGGAUGGACCCAGGAGAGAGGAAACUCACUGAAAAAAAAAGAACAGUUUUAGCACAAGGAUAAGGGGGAGCAACUAUCCAGCAAAGGCUGGGGCUGGAGAUCAGGAGAGCCCAGUCCUUGGAGGGAGAAGCUCUUGGGAUCAAGAAGCAAAGCACCAUUUCAACACAGAGCUGGUAGUGUUCAUGCCUGGGGGAGAAGCCCGUGGCAUCCUGCAUCCUCUGGAAGUGCCUUUCAGGAGGAAUAAUGCCCAUGAAAUGUAAUUACCCUGACAGGGGACAGCAUUAUGGGCAGCACAGGCUGGGGAGGUUCAGCCAUGGGUUGACCCCAAUGAUUUCCCCCGGUGGAACUGCAGAGAUCCAUCUGUGCCUCCUGGUCCCCACUGUCUCUAUGGUACCAUCAUGGAUACAGUGUAAGAAAUGUUCCCCUAAGGUUUAUUUCUUACCCCACGGUUCAUUUUCUUAUCCCACUAGUUUUUUUCUAAAAUUAAAUGAUGAUGGUUACACUGAUAUCCUUAAUUAAGGACUUUUCCCCUAGCUGGUAAUAUCCCAAAGCCUUGUGGCAUUGUUUGAAAUUAUCCAACUCAAACCCAGUGAAGGCAACAAAACAAGGAAGUCAAAAUGUGGGGGAAAAGCCAGGGCCUGUCCCUGUGCCAGGGGCAGUCACCUGGAGGAAUGUCACACCUGGCUGGAAACAGGCUGGCAGCAGUGGCAGAGCCCUUUGACGUGGGGACAUGUCAGGGAAAUCCCCAAAUACAGACAAUAAUAAUGUAAUGUGGAAUGCUGGAACAAUAACAUGUUGUAUAUGUAUAUAUAUUUAUAUAUGUAAAUGUUUUAUAUAUGUAUUGCAUAAUGUAAUAAUGUGGUAUAAUAUAAUGGUUAUGAUAGAAAUAAUAGUAGCUGUGAAUAUAAUAAAUAGAACAUAAUAUGAUGGAAUAUAAAACAAUAUAAUGUAAUGUAAUAUAAUGUAAUAUAAUAGAAUACAAUAUAAUGUAAUAUAAUGUAAUGUAAUAUAAUAUGAAAAAUAUAUAGAAAAUAAAGCAGACAUCAGGGUGGGCUUUCACCCAGGACAACUGGCAGGGAUCCAAGAUUCCUCUGUAAUGAGCCCAGGCUUAUUCCAACGAGGUGGCUCCAAAAUUCCCAUUGGCAUAAACCAAAUGCAGCCCUCCAGUGUUUCAGAGAGCAGCAAAUUAUCCCACAGCUCAGUGAAGGAGUCAGAAUCCCCUCUGGUUAAGUCCUGUUUAGGCUGUCUGUCCUAGUAAAGAGCAGAAUUAUCUAUUUGUCUGAACAGAUUUAUAUUCUGUAUGUAUGUGUCUACAUUAUUUCUAUAUUGUUUGUAUACAAUAUAUAUUAUGUAUAUAUAAUACCCACUAUGUAUAUAAAUAUAUAUUAUCUAGAAUAUAAUUAUUAAUUAUAAUUACCUAUUACAUAUUGUAAUAAGAGUUAUAAAAUUUGAUUACAGUAUAUAUAUGUAUAUAUUAUGUACAUAUAAUGUAUAAUGUAUAUGUAUAAUGUAUGUACAUACAUAAUAUGUAUAAUGUAUAAUGUAACAUAUAUGACAUCUACAUAUAAUAUAAUAAAUAUAUUAUCAUGGAUUAAAAGGAUUAUAUGUAGGAUAUAUAGAUAGACUAUAUUAAUCUAUAUAAAUAAUAGAAUUCUAUGUAGAUCUAUAACAUGUAUGUAUCUAAUAGAUGAUGUACAUAUAGAUAUAUAAUACACUUAAGAGAUUUGUGAUACUCUGUGUCUAAUAUGUAUAUUAUGCAUAUAUAAUAUAUAUGAUGUAAAUAUACAUCAUAUACACAAUAUAUUAUAUGGUUCUAUGAUAGUUCAUAUAUCUAAUAUAUAUAUUAUAUAUGGUUCAUAUGAUAUGGCUAUAUAUUAUUAUAGUAAUAUAACAUAUAUUAUCUAUAUUAUAUAUUAUAGUAUAUUAUUUAUACUGUAGUAUACUAUAGUAUAAUACUAUAUAUAUAGUAUAUAUAUAGUAAUACUAUAUACUAUAGUAUAAUUUAUAAUAUAGUAUAGUGUAAUAUAUAUACUAUAAUAUAAUAUAUUAUACUAUAAUACACUAUAGUACAUUAUCUAUAAUAAGUAUAUAAUAUAUACAGAAAGAUAUACUGUAUAUGUAUAGAAAAGAGGAAGGUGCUCAUAAGGUAUCUGCAAAACAGAAUUGCUUCCAAAUUUCUGCAGAAUAAUUCUGGCUCCAUGGAUUUUGUCUAUUCUCUCAUGUAAUAUUUUCGUUCAGCAUCUUAAAACUGAAUGAACCAUUUAUUAUCAAUAAGAUACAGAAAAGAGAGGUUUAAAAUCUCUCUGGGAUGGAGAUAAUAAUAGUCCUGAGAAAAGUGCAAAUAAAGACAAAUGCAAAGAGAUAAAAGGCAGGAAGUCCUUUAUUGAGGGCUAAAGGCAGAGCCACAAACAGACUGUUUUCAAAAUUAAAAACAAAUACAAACAAUAGGCUAAAAAUCCGAAAAUCGUAUUUUCCCCCCCCUCUCCUUAAGAUGAAUUCCAAAGCUUAAUUUUGGUUGGGUUUGUUUUGCUUACACAGCUUGGUUGGUACACCAGGGAGGAGGGGAACACCAGUCAGAUACCAGAGUGGAUAAACAAUGAGCAAAGACAUCCCUGCUCUGAGCUCCCUGCAGCUUUCAGAGAGGGGAUGUGGGAGCAGCAUGUUAAAACACAGUCUUUUUUAAUCUCUUUUUUCCUUCUUUUUUUUUUAUUCUUUCCAGACAGCUACUGUACAAAACCAAACAGAAAUUUGUAAUAAAUACCUAACACAAGAGGCUCAGUACAUUGCUACAAUCCUUCACUGAAGGGAAACAUAUAUAUAUAUAUACACAUAUAUAUAUAUAUAUAUAUAGCCUAAUAUAUAAAACCUCUUUGACUUAAAUCAGCGUAAAGGCUACUUGUUUUUACAGAAACCUGGGGCAGGAAU